CUGGGUGGUUCCUGCUUUGCUAAAUUUGUCCAGACAUGUGAUUCUGAGAAGAGCCUGGGGAGAGGCAGUAUCCCAAACGGAGCACUGGCUGACAGCGAUGUGAAACGGAGCAAAAGGACUGUCACCUGCAGCUUGAGACCUCCAGAGAAAGGAUAGUUUCUGAAUUCCUCUGUAAACCAGCCUGGAGGAACAAGGAGUUCUCUACCCUCGUGCCAGUGGAGGUACAGCCUCCCUUCCACUGUUGCCAGCAGUCUCCAAGAGUACAGAAUAACAAAAAA
rnacentral:lncRNA from 12 species